ACUCUGACCAGCCAUGCCGCGUGCAGGAAGACAGCCCUCUGGGUCGUAAACUGCUUUUAUUCGGGAAUAAACCUACUUACGUGUAAGUAGCUGAAUGUACCGAAGGAAUAAGGAUCGGCUAACUCCGUGCCAGCAGCCGCGGUAAUACGGAGGAUCCAAGCGUUAUCCGGAUUUAUUGGGUUUAAAGGGUGCGUAGGCGGCUUAUUAAGUCAGGGGUGAAAGACGGUGGCUCAACCAUCGCAGUGCCCUUGAUACUGAUGAGCUUGAAUGGACUAGAGGUAGGCGGAAUGUGACAAGUAGCGGUGAAAUGCAUAGAUAUGUCACAGAACACCGAUUGCGAAGGCAGCUUACUAUGGUUUUAUUGACGCUGAGGCACGAAAGCGUGGGGAUCAAACAGGAUUAGAUACCCUGGUAGUCCACGCCCUAAACGAUGAAUACUCGCUGUUAGCGAUAUACAGUUAGCGGCUAAGCGAAAGCGUUAAGUAUUCCACCUGGGGAGUACGCCCGCAAGGGUGAAACUCAAAGGAAUUGACGGGGGCCCGCACAAGCGGAGGAGCAUGUGGUUUAAUUCGAUGAUACGCGAGGAACCUUACCCGGGCUUGAAAGUUAGUGAAUCAUUUAGAGAUAGAUGAGUG
rnacentral:rRNA from 1 species